UAGGGAAUCUUGCGCAAUGGGCGAAAGCCUGACGCAGCCAUGCCGCGUGAAUGAUGAAGGUCUUAGGAUUGUAAAAUUCUUUCACCGGGGAAGAUAAUGACGGUACCCGGAGAAGAAGCCCCGGCUAACUUCGUGCCAGCAGCCGCGGUAAUACGAAGGGGGCUAGCGUUGCUCGGAAUUACUGGGCGUAAAGGGCGCGUAGGCGGAUAUCUAAGUUGGGGGUGAAAGCCCGGGGCUCAACCUCGGAAUAGCCUUCAAUACUGGAUAUCUUGAGUUCGGGAGAGGUGAGUGGAAUGCCGAGUGUAGAGGUGAAAUUCGUAGAUAUUCGGCGGAACACCAGUGGCGAAGGCGACUCACUGGCCCGAUACUGACGCUGAGGCGCGAAAGCGUGGGGAGCAAACAGGAUUAGAUACCCUGGUAGUCCACGCCGUAAACGAUGAGUGCUAGUUGUCGGCAUGCAUGCAUGUCGGUGACGCAGCUAACGCAUUAAGCACUCCGCCUGGGGAGUACGGUCGCAAGAUUAAAACUCAAAUGAAUUGAC
rnacentral:rRNA from 1 species